GGCGCGUCUGGUUUAGCCAGUGGACUAGUUAAACGCCCGCGGGUUUUGACGGCGAAGGUAGCGCAAUCACUGUCCUUUUAAAUGACGACCUGUAUGAAUGGUGGAACGAGGGCUUAACUGUCUCCCUUUUCAAGUCAAUGAAAUGAUCUGCCCGUGCAGAAGCGGACAUAUAAAUACAAGACGAGAAGACCCUUUGGAGCUUAAGAUAUAAGAUCAACUAUGUUAAGAAUAACUUAAACCAAUUAAACUAAAUAGUAACUGAUCCCUAUCUUCGGUUGGGGCGACCACGGGAGAAAAUAAAGCUCCCACGUGGACUGGGGUUACCCCUAAAACUAAGAGAGACAUCUCUAAGUCACAGAACAUCUGACCAAACAGAUCCGGCUAUUAGGCCGAUCAACGGACCAAGUUACCCUAGGGAAUAACAGGCGCAAUCCUCUUCCAGAGUCCAUUAUUCGACCAGAAGGGGUUUACGACCUCGAUGUGGGGAUUCAGGGGACAUCCUUUGGUGCAGCCGCGG
rnacentral:rRNA from 1 species